AUUAUUCCUGAAAUCCUCAUUUUUCUUCGACCGUGCGAUGGCCUCUCAGCUACCCGAUUGUGAGGGCUGCAAGGAUGUUGUUCUUCUGAUCCUCACUUUCCUUCACAGAGAUCCCUUCAAGAUACUCUGGCUAUGACACGUAGGCAGGUGGUCAGGCUUUAUUAUGGCCGUCAAAACACCUACUUGAUGAUCUUUGUAGACUUUUAAUUAGAAU